rnacentral:rRNA from 1 species
CACGCAGUAAACGAUGAUCACUAGCUGUUUGCGAUACAUUGUAAGCGGCCCAGCGAAAGCGUUAAGUGAUCCACCUGGGGAGUACGCCGGCAACGGUGAAACUCAAAGGAAUUGACGGGG